CAGCAGCCACGGGAAAACGUAGGGCGCAAGCGUUGUCCGGAAUUAUUGGGCGUAAAGAGCUCGUAGGCGGUCUGUCGCGUCUGGUGUGAAAUCCCGAGGCUCAACCUCGGGCUUGCAUCGGGUACGGGCAGACUAGAGUGCGGUAGGGGAGACUGGAAUUCCUGGUGUAGCGGUGGAAUGCGCAGAUAUCAGGAGGAACACCGAUGGCGAAGGCAGGUCUCUGGGCCGCAACUGACGCUGAGGAGCGAAAGCAUGGGGAGCGAACAGGAUUAGAUACCCCUGUAGUCCCUGUCUCUUAUAA
rnacentral:rRNA from 1 species